rnacentral:rRNA from 1 species
ACUGGGCGUAAAGCGUGUGUAGGCUGCGCGGAAAGUCAAAUGUGAAAGCCCGGGGCUCAACCUCGGAACUGCAUUCGAUACUCCCGUGCUAGAGUAAUGGAGAGGUAAGUGGAAUUCCUGGUGUAGCAGUGAAAUGCGUGGAUAUCAGGAGGAACAUCAAUGGCGAAGGCAACUUACUGGACAUUUACUGACGCUCAGACACGAAGGCUAGGGUAGCGAAAGGGAUUAGAUACCCCUGUAGUCCUAGCAGUAAACGGUGCUCGCUUGGUGUGGGAGGAUUCGACCCCUUCUGUGCCGGAGCUAACGCGUUAAGCGAGCCGCCUGGGAAGUACGGUCGCAAGACUAAAACUCAAAGAAAUUGACGGGGACCCGCACAAGCGGUGGAGUAUGUGGCUUAAUUCGAUGCAACGCGAAGAACCUUACCUAGGCUUGACAUGCUUGUCGUACUCUCCCGAAAAGGAGAGGUCACUUCGGGUGGACAAUGCACAGGUGCUGCAUGGCC